rnacentral:lncRNA from 1 species
CCUAGAGGUACCCUCUACCCCCCAUCACCCCUAUUCCCUACCUAGAGGUACCCUCUACCCCCAUCACCCCUAUUCUCUACCUAGAGGUACCCUCUACCCCCCAUCACCCCUAUUCCCUAUCUAGAGGUACCCUCUACCCCCCAUCACCCCUAUUCCCUACCUAGAGGUACCCUCUACCCCCCAUCACCCCUAUUCCCUACCUAGAGGUACCCUCUACCCCCCAUCACCCCUAUUCCCUACCUAGAGGUACCCUCUACCCCCCAUCACCCCUAUUCCCUAUCUAGAGGUACCCUCUACACCAUCACCCUAUGCCCUAUACCAUACAUACACCCUACACACUACGCCCUAUACCAUACAUACACCCUAAACACUACACACUGCACCCUAUUCCAUACACCCUACAACCUACACACUGCACCCUAUUCCAUACAUGCACCCUACAACCUACACACUGCACCCUAUUCCAUACACCCUACGCCCUACACACUACACCCUAUUCCAUACAUACACCCUACAACCUACACACUGCACCCUAUUCCAUACAUACACCCUACAACCUACACACUGCACCCUAUUCCGUACAUACACCCUACACCCUACACACUGCACCCUAUUCCAUACAUACACCCUAUAACCUACACACUGCACCCUAUUCCAUACAUACACCCUACACCCUACACACUGCACCCUAUUCCAUCCACCCUACACACUGCACCCUAUUCCAUACA